rnacentral:lncRNA from 1 species
AAAAGGAAGUAUCCAUAUUUUUUGAACUGAACAAAGGGUAUCACAGUACUUUUCACUCUGUGUGUUAUAUACAUGUAAACAGAAGUCACUGCUUCUUCAGAGAUCUGUCAAGUUUUGGUCAAGUGGCACCAUGGUUAACAAGAUACUAGAUACAUUGGUACAUCAUGUACAGAAAUUUGCAUCUUGAUACAUGUACACUGACUAAGCAAACUGGACCAUGCAGCUACUUUAUUUACGUCUUCAAAAAGGGUUAAUGCUAAAAAACUAAAGAAGAAGAAGAAGAAGAAGAAGAAGAAGAAAGAAGUAUAUCUUCCAGCAAGCUUCAGAUAACACCACAUGUACUUCUGGAAGUGCUCCUCAGUCAAACAAAUCUACAAGUUUUACAUACAUGGACAUUCAAUAGAAAACAAUUAGCAACAUAAAUUUGACUUGAUUCAAGAAACAUUGUACAAUUGUACGUACCUAAUUUCUAGCUAUAUAUACAAAAAAUUCUAAACUGGGUACUAAGAGAAAAGAAACAAAAAAAAGAGCUUAAAAAAUUGUUUACACCAGCAACUGUAAGUAAUCUGAUCUUCAGACUUUGUUAAGGUGUUUAAGGAUAAAAAAAUAAUUAGGUAGAUUGGGUGAGACAAGGUGCUUCUCAUCUGGUUCUACAAUCAGUUUGGGCAGUGGCUGUGAUAAUAUGCUCAAUAUACUGACGAACAUACUCACUUGAUUUAGUAGAAUUUGCACUAACGGGAUGAUGAAUGGGUCACAUAUCCUGACGAAACUGAGAUGAAUAUACCCGUUAUUUGGUGUCGCUAAUACAUUGACUACUCCAUUAUUAGAAGAAAAAAAAUGCAACCAAUUCGUACCAGAUCUAUAAUGGUUUACACACUGUUGACUCAAAGAAAUAUUUAGAAGGAGAGCGGCUAGAUCUAACCAGUGAUUGCUGGACUCCAAAGUUGCUUGCGGUUGGAGAACUUGCAGUACACUUUUACGUCCACCAGUAAGAACUGGGUUCCAUCCAUUGUUCUCAUGGAUGGCAUUCGGUUGUUGGAACGCGGAAGGCAAUGAUCGCCGGAUUCCAGCCACCUACAAACCAGCAGAAAAAGAGAGUUGAUUGCCUUGUCGAUCUGGUUUCACACAUCAGAGUCACGCGCUGGAAACAAACCUGGUCAGUCAGGGCAUUGUUGGCCGGUGAGAAGACGAGCUCCUUCUCCACGAGGCCGAUGUAGUUCCAGCCGUGCGAGUCGCCGCCGCCGCCGCAUAAC